GAGGCUCAGAAAGCAGCGCUCUGGGGCAUCUCCACCAUGGCCUGGGCUCUGCUCCUUGUCACCCUCCUCACUCAGGGCACAGGGUCGUGGGCCAACUCUGCCCUGACUCAGCCUCCAUCGGUGUCUGGGACUCUGGGAAAGACGGUCACCAUCUCCUGCGCUGGAACCAGCAGUGACAUUGGGAGAUAUAACUAUGUCUCCUGGUAUCAACAGCUCCCAGGAAAUGCCCCCAAACUCCUGAUAUAUGAGGUCAAUAAACGAGCCUCAGGGAUCCCUGAUCGCUUCUCUGGCUCCAAGUCAGGCAACACGGCCUCCCUGAGCAUCUCUGGGCUCCAGUCUGAGGACGAGGCUGAUUAUAUCUGUGCCUCAUAUACAACUAGUAGCACUGUGCACAGUGGUCCACACUCAUGGGGAUGCUCCAGCUCCGGGGCUGACCGCUACCUGACCGUCUCCAACAUCCAGUCCGAGGACGAGGCGGACUAUUACUGUGGAGCCAACUAUAAAAGUGAUGACCAAUUCGGGUAA